CGGGGUGCAGCAGGCGCGAAAACUUUACAAUGCCGGCAACGGCGAUAAGGGAACCUCGAGUGCCAGGUUACAAAUCUGGCUGUCGUGAUGCCUAAAAAGCAUUGCAUAGCAAGGGCCGGGCAAGACCGGUGCCAGCCGCCGCGGUAACACCGGCGGCUCGAGUGGUAACCGUUAUUAUUGGGUCUAAAGGGUCUGUAGCCAGCCGGGUAAGUCUCUUGGGAAAUCUGGCAGCUUAACUGUCAGGCUUUCAGGAGAUACUGCCUGGCUCGAGGCCGGGAGAGGUGAGAGGUACUUCAGGGGUAGGGGUGAAAUCUUGUAAUCCUUGAAGGACCACCAGUGGCGAAGGCGUCUCACCAGAACGGACCUGACGGCAAGGGACGAAAGCUAGGGGCACGAACCGGAUUAGAUACCCGGGUAGUCCUAGCCGUAAACGAUACUCGCUAGGUGUCGGCCACGGUGCGACCGUGGUCGGUGCCGUAGGGAAGCCGUGAAGCGAGCCACCUGGGAAGUACGGCCGCAAGGCUGAAACUUAAAGGAAUUGGCGGGGGAGCAC
rnacentral:rRNA from 1 species